UAGAAGACUGCCGCUCGUUUA
rnacentral:miRNA from 1 species